CUCCGUUAUGAAAACACCGACAUCAACAAAAGUUUGUGUUUUAUAAUCUAGUUAUGUGUCGAGGUUGUGACGGGUUCGGCUGCAGACGCGCAGCUUUUCCUGCUUUUAUCUGGAGUUUGAGAAACUCAGGAAGGUUUUAGAUCCGCAGAGCCGACAGGUGAUAACACCUGUACUGACGUCACCAGCCUCACCUGUGCAGCUAGCGUGCUAACCGCCCCCCGAUGUCGGGGCUCCGGCGGUCCGUGUCCGAGGCCUGGUGGUCUCUCUGCGCCGCCGACUCCAUGUCCAUGCCGGUCCACUGGUACUACGACGUCAGCGACAUCCGUCGGGACUUCGGGGGCUGGAUCUCCGGGUUCAGAACUCCGGCAGACCGACACCCGUCCAGCAUCCUCAGCCUGUCCAACACCGCCGGUAGCGGUCGUACCUCCUGGUCGUCGGGGCCCAAACGC